rnacentral:rRNA from 1 species
CUUUACUGUAGCUUUGCAUUGGACUUUGAACCGGUCUGUGUAGGAUAGGUGGGAGGCUUUGAAGCGUGGUCGCUAGAUCGCGUGGAGCCAACCUUGAAAUACCACCCUGGUUUGUUUGAGGUUCUAACCAUGGCCUGUGAAUCCAGGUCUGGGACCGUGCAUGGUAGGCAGUUUGACUGGGGCGGUCUCCUCCCAAAGAGUAACGGAGGAGUACGAAGGUACGCUAGGUACGGUCGGACAUCGUGCUAAUAGUGCAAUGGCAUAAGCGUGCUUGACUGCGAGACCCACAAGUCGAGCAGGUACGAAAGUAGGUCAUAGUGAUCCGGUGGUUCUGUAUGGAAGGGCCAUCGCUCAACGGAUAAAAGGUA